rnacentral:rRNA from 1 species
AUUGAACGCUGGCGGCAGGCCUAACACAUGCAAGUCGAGCGAGCGGCGGACGGGUGAGUAAUGUCUGGGAAACUGCCUGAUGGAGGGGGAUAACUACUGGAAAAGGUAGCUAAUACCGCAUACACUCAGAUGUGAACAGAUGGGAUUAGCUGGUAGGUGUGGUAAUGGCUCACCGGGGCGACGAUCCCUAGCUGGUCUGAGAGGAGGACCAGCCACACGGGAAGUGUGAAACGGUCCAGACUCCUAGGGGAGCAAGCAGUGGGGAAUUUUGCACAAUGAGCUCAAGCUUGCUGUAGCCCUGCCGCGUGGGUGUAGAAGCCUUUCGGGUUGUAAAGCACUUUCAGCGAGGAGGCGUUCUCGCAGAAAAGCACCGGCUAACUACGUGCCAGCAGCCGCGGUAAUAC